rnacentral:tRNA from 1 species
CCUGGUGGCUCAGAGGUUAAAGCGUCUGCCUGCAAUGUGGGAGACCUGGGUUCGAUCCCUGGAUCAGGA